rnacentral:lncRNA from 1 species
GAACCAAGGGGCAAUGUUUUGCAAAGCUCUAACGUAUUUUAUAAGGUGACUAUAAAACACAAUAUUUACUUCCCAGAUGAUGCAACAAAUUUUUAAAGCUCAGGCAUUCUUUGGAAUGCACUCCAAGGGCUAGGACUAUUGCUCUCAUUGCAUUACAAGGAAGUGUACCUAUGAAUCAGCCUUUGAAAUCACAUCACAUGUGGAACCAUCUCCAUCACUGAUUUGUAAAGUCAACUGUGGUCCUUGCCCUGCUAUACUAUCAUUAUUAUCAUUCAAGCCCAUCUGACAUUUUCUUCAUUAUUGUGCAUUUAUUGAGUGCCAGUGGGAUGCUACACCAAAGAAGCUGCUAAAAGUUGUCUCUGGGUCUCUCAGACCACCACUGAUGGGGUGUUGAUAAGUGGAAGUAGUUACCUCAGGUCGACUGUUCCUGCAGCCAGGCUGGAAGCAGUCACUUCAAUGGAAAGCUCCGUGGUCCCUGCCAGCUCCUCUGGUCCACAGAUGUCUCAGGAUGUAGCCCCACCCUUUGUUGGUUGCAGCCAUGGAAUUUGCAAAUGAUCAGCGCACCAGAGUUGUAACCGACCUUACGUUGUACUUCCACAAAGAAUCUGAGGCUCGUUUGAUGAAAAUGUUGAGAUUCGCUGAAUUGAUAAAUGUCAACUAAGUGGAGAAAGUAACUGAGUGGUUUCCACAUUGAUCUGUCAUCAAUGGAGCUGUAGAUCAGAUGGCAACGUGAUCAUUUUUAGCGCAGUUCUUGUCUUCCUCUGUUCAAAUGCACCAAACGAAGCGCCCAUUUGCUGACUAGAAAUUCACAGUUGAGGUCGACUGAUGAUGCAGUGCAAAGAAGCCUGUUCUGUUCCUCUGCUCGCAAGAAGUUAUGGAUUAACUUAAGCAAACAUUUAAAAAAAAAGAAAGAAAGAAAGAAAGAAAAACGAAACCCAAAGAAGGAACCAAAGAAAUCUGCAGACUCUGUGUAUUUACCCAGGGAUCGCUUUCCUGAGGGUGAACUGUAACCAGCUUCUUUGCAGAAUGGAGCCAUCAUCGGGUGCCAG